rfam:Medicago truncatula strain A17 chromosome 8, whole genome shotgun sequence.
GUUGCUUCACAAUGGUGAACCCUCCUUUAUUUUGAAAUGGGAGGUUUCAAGUUUCCCGAAGCAUAAAUUAAACCAACAAAACCAGUCUCUAACGGCUCAGUGUAAUUUAAUUUAGCUACACUACGCCACCUGUCUACUGGUACAUUU